CCGGCGAUGUCCGAAUGGGGAAACCCAGUGUGAUUCGUCACACUAUCGUUAACUGAAUACAUAGGUUAACGAGGCGAACCGGGGGAACUGAAACAUCUAAGUACCCCGAGGAAAAGAAAUCAACCGAGAUUCCCCCAGUAGCGGCGAGCGAACGGGGAGCAGCCCAGAGUCUGAAUCAGCUUGUGUGUUAGUGGAACGGUCUGGAAAGUCCGACGGUACAGGGUGAUAGUCCCGUACACCAAAAUGCACAGGUUGUGAACUCGAAGAGUAGGGCGGGACACGUGGUAUCCUGUCUGAAUAUGGGGGGACCAUCCUCCAAGGCUAAAUACUCCUGACUGACCGAUAGUGAACCAGUACCGUGAGGGAAAGGCGAAAAGAACCCCGGCGAGGGGAGUGAAAAAGAACCUGAAACCGUGUACGUACAAGCAGUGGGAGCACCUUCGGGUGUGACUGCGUACCUUUUGUAUAAUGGGUCAGCGACUUAUAUUCUGUAGCAAGGUUAACCGUAUAGGGGAGCCGCAGGGAAACCGAGUCUUAACUGGGCGUUAAGUUGCAGGGUAUAGACCCGAAACCCGGUGAUCUAGCCAUGGGCAGGUUGAAGGUUGGGUAACACUAACUGGAGGACCGAACCGACUAAUGUUGAAAAAUUAGCGGAUGACUUGUGGCUGGGGGUGAAAGGCCAAUCAAACCGGGAGAUAGCUGGUUCUCCCCGAAAGCUAUUUAGGUAGCGCCUCGUGAACUCAUCUUCGGGGGUAGAGCACUGUUUCGGCUAGGGGGUCAUCCCGACUUACCAACCCGAUGCAAACUACGAAUACCGAAGAAUGUUAUCACGGGAGACACACGGCGGGUGCUAACGUCCGUCGUGAAGAGGGAAACAACCCAGACCGCCAGCUAAGGUCCCAAAGUCAUGGUUAAGUGGGAAACGAUGUGGGAAGGCACAGACAGCCAGGAUGUUGGCUUAGAAGCAGCCAUCAUUUAAAGAAAGCGUAAUAGCUCACUGGUCGAGUCGGCCUGCGCGGAAGAUGUAACGGGGCUAAACCAUGCACCGAAGCUGCGGCAGCGACACUAUGUGUUGUUGGGUAGGGGAGCGUUCUGUAAGCCUGCGAAGGUGUGCUGUGAGGCAUGCUGGAGGUAUCAGAAGUGCGAAUGCUGACAUAAGUAACGAUAAAGCGGGUGAAAAGCCCGCUCGCCGGAAGACCAAGGGUUCCUGUCCAACGUUAAUCGGGGCAGGGUGAGUCGACCCCUAAGGCGAGGCCGAAAGGCGUAGUCGAUGGGAAACAGGUUAAUAUUCCUGUACUUGGUGUUACUGCGAAGGGGGGACGGAGAAGGCUAUGUUAGCCGGGCGACGGUUGUCCCGGUUUAAGCAUGUAGGCUGGUUGUCCAGGCAAAUCCGGAUAAUCAAGGCUGAGGUGUGAUGACGAGGCACUACGGUGCUGAAGUAACAAAUGCCCUGCUUCCAGGAAAAGCCUCUAAGCAUCAGGUAACAUUAAAUCGUACCCCAAACCGACACAGGUGGUCAGGUAGAGAAUACCAAGGCGCUUGAGAGAACUCGGGUGAAGGAACUAGGCAAAAUGGUGCCGUAACUUCGGGAGAAGGCACGCUGGUGUGUAGGUGAAGUCCCUGCGGAUGGAGCUGAGACCAGUCGAAGAUACCAGCUGGCUGCAACUGUUUAUUAAAAACACAGCACUGUGCAAACACGAAAGUGGACGUAUACGGUGUGACGCCUGCCCGGUGCCGGAAGGUUAAUUGAUGGGGUUAUCCGUAAGGAGAAGCUCUUGAUCGAAGCCCCGGUAAACGGCGGCCGUAACUAUAACGGUCCUAAGGUAGCGAAAUUCCUUGUCGGGUAAGUUCCGACCUGCACGAAUGGCGUAAUGAUGGCCAGGCUGUCUCCACCCGAGACUCAGUGAAAUUGAACUCGCUGUGAAGAUGCAGUGUACCCGCGGCAAGACGGAAAGACCCCGUGAACCUUUACUAUAGCUUGACACUGAACAUUGAGCCUUGAUGUGUAGGAUAGGUGGGAGGCUUUGAAGCGUGGACGCCAGUCUGCGUGGAGCCAACCUUGAAAUACCACCCUUUAAUGUUUGAUGUUCUAACGUUGGCCCCUGACCGGGGUUGCGGACAGUGUCUGGUGGGUAGUUUGACUGGGGCGGUCUCCUCCCAAAGCGUAACGGAGGAGCACGAAGGUUAGCUAAUCCUGGUCGGACAUCAGGAGGUUAGUGCAAUGGCAUAAGCUAGCUUGACUGCGAGCGUGACGGCGCGAGCAGGUGCGAAAGCAGGUCAUAGUGAUCCGGUGGUUCUGAAUGGAAGGGCCAUCGCUCAACGGAUAAAAGGUACUCCGGGGAUAACAGGCUGAUACCGCCCAAGAGUUCAUAUCGACGGCGGUGUUUGGCACCUCGAUGUCGGCUCAUCACAUCCUGGGGCUGAAGUAGGUCCCAAGGGUAUGGCUGUUCGCCAUUUAAAGUGGUACGCGAGCUGGGUUUAGAACGUCGUGAGACAGUUCGGUCCCUAUCUGCCGUGGGCGCUGGAGAAUUGAGGGGGGCUGCUCCUAGUACGAGAGGACCGGAGUGGACGCAUCACUGGUGUUCGGGUUGUCAUGCCAAUGGCACUGCCCGGUAGCUAAAUGCGGAAGAGAUAAGUGCUGAAAGCAUCUAAGCACGAAACUUGCCCCGAGAUGAGUUCUCCCUGAGACUUUAAGUCUCCUGAAGGAACGUU
rnacentral:rRNA from 1 species